UAAGUAAGCUUUGAUCCAGAGAUUUCCGAAUGGGGAAACCCAGCAUGAGUUAUGUCAUGUUAUCGAUAUGUGAAUACAUAGCAUAUCAGAAGGCACACCCGGAGAACUGAAACAUCUUAGUACCCGGAGGAAGAGAAAGAAAAUUCGAUUCCCUUAGUAGCGGCGAGCGAAACGGGAAGAGCCCAAACCAACAAGCUUGCUUGUUGGGGUUGUAGGACACUCUAUACGGAGUUACAAAGGACGACAUUAGACGAAUCAUCUGGAAAGAUGAAUCAAAGAAGGUAAUAAUCCUGUAGUCGAAAAUGUUGUCUCUCUUGAGUGGAUCCUGAGUACGACGGAGCACGUGAAAUUCCGUCGGAAUCUGGGAGGACCAUCUCCUAAGGCUAAAUACUCUCUAGUGACCGAUAGUGAACCAGUACCGUGAGGGAAAGGUGAAAAGCACCCCGGAAGGGGAGUGAAAUAGAACCUGAAACCGUGUGCUUACAAGUAGUCAGAGCCCGUUAAUGGGUGAUGGCGUGCCUUUUGUAGAAUGAACCGGCGAGUUACGAUUUGAUGCAAGGUUAAGCAGUAAAUGUGGAGCCGUAGCGAAAGCGAGUCUGAAUAGGGCGUUUAGUAUUUGGUCGUAGACCCGAAACCAGGUGAUCUACCCUUGGUCAGGUUGAAGUUCAGGUAACACUGAAUGGAGGACCGAACCGACUUACGUUGAAAAGUGAGCGGAUGAACUGAGGGUAGCGGAGAAAUUCCAAUCGAACCUGGAGAUAGCUGGUUCUCUCCGAAAUAGCUUUAGGGCUAGCCUCAAGUGAUGAUUAUUGGAGGUAGAGCACUGUUUGGACGAGGGGCCCCUCUCGGGUUACCGAAUUCAGACAAACUCCGAAUGCCAAUUAAUUUAACUUGGGAGUCAGAACAUGGGUGAUAAGGUCCGUGUUCGAAAGGGAAACAGCCCAGACCACCAGCUAAGGUCCCAAAAUAUAUGUUAAGUGGAAAAGGAUGUGGCGUUGCCCAGACAACUAGGAUGUUGGCUUAGAAGCAGCCAUCAUUUAAAGAGUGCGUAAUAGCUCACUAGUCGAGUGACACUGCGCCGAAAAUGUACCGGGGCUAAACAUAUUACCGAAGCUGUGGAUUGUCCUUUGGACAAUGGUAGGAGAGCGUUCUAAGGGCGUUGAAGCAUGAUCGUAAGGACAUGUGGAGCGCUUAGAAGUGAGAAUGCCGGUGUGAGUAGCGAAAGACGGGUGAGAAUCCCGUCCACCGAUUGACUAAGGUUUCCAGAGGAAGGCUCGUCCGCUCUGGGUUAGUCGGGUCCUAAGCUGAGGCCGACAGGCGUAGGCGAUGGAUAACAGGUUGAUAUUCCUGUACCACCUAUA
rnacentral:rRNA from 1 species